CUACGGGAGGCAGCAGUCGAGAAUCUUCGGCAAUGGGCGCAAGCCUGACCGAGCAACGCCGCGUGCGGGAUGAAGGCCCUUGGGUUGUAAACCGCUGUCAGGGGGGAUGAAAGCGCAAGCUUGACAGAGCCCCAGAGGAAGCACGGGCUAAGUUCGUGCCAGCAGCCGCGGUAAUACGAACUGUGCGAACGUUAUUCGGAAUCACUGGGCUUACAGGGUGCGUAGGCGGCGGUGCAAGUCAGGUGUGAAAUCCCACAGCUCAACUGUGGAACUGCGCUUGAAACUGCAUUGCUUGAGAGAGCUAGAGGUAUGCGGAACUUCCGGUGGAGCGGUGAAAUGUGUUGAUAUCGGAAGGAACACCAGAGGCGAAGGCGGCAUACUGGGGCUUAUCUGACGCUGAGGCACGAAAGCCAGGGGAGCAAACGGGAUUAGAUACCCCGGUAGUCC
rnacentral:rRNA from 1 species